AGGACGAACGCUGGCGGCGUGCUUAACACAUGCAAGUCGAGCGGAAAGGCCCUUCGGGGUACUCGAGCAGCGAACGGGUGAGUAACACGUGAGUAACCUGCCCCUAGCUUCGGGAUAGCUCCGGGAAACCGGAAUUAACACCGGAUAUGACCACGGCCGACAUCGGCCACGGUGGAAAGAUUCAUCGGCUAGGGAUGGGCUCGCGGCCUAUCAGCUUGUUGGUGGGGUAACAGCCUACCAAGGCGACGACGGGUA
rnacentral:rRNA from 1 species